GGAAUAGCGGCGGGGGGCAACCUCCUUUGCGAAAGUGCCGGUAAUACUCGAUGACCCCGCGAAAUCGCAUGGUUUUGCGGGCAAAGCUUCGACGGUUUGGGAUCGGUUCAUGUCCUAUCAGCUAGUUGGUGAGGUAACGGCUCACCAAGGCAUCGACGGGUAGCGGGCGUGAGAGCGUGGCCCGCCACAUCGGGACUGAGACACGGCCCGGACACCUACGGGUGGCUGCAGCAACGAAUCUUCCGCAAUGGGCGCAAGCCUGACGGAGCGACGCUGCGUGCGGGAAGAAGUCCUUCGGGAUGUAAACCGCUGUCGGGGGUUAGGAACGCAAUGACCAGCCCCAAAGGAAGCCACGGCUAACUCCGUGCCAGCAGCCGCGGUAAUACGGAGGUGGCAAGCGUUGUUCGGAAUCACUGGGCUUAAAGGGCGUGUAGGCGGGGCGCAGGGUGCUGGGUGAAAUCCCCGAGCUCAACUCGGGAACUGCCCGGCAAACCGGCGCUCUGGAGGCAGGUAGAGGUGACUGGAACAACGGGUGGAGCGGUGAAAUGCGUAGAUAUCCGUUGGAAUGCCGGUGGCGAAAGCGGGUCACUGGGCCUGUCCUGACGCUGAGACGCGAAAGCGUGGGUAGCAAACAGGAUUAGAUACCCUGGUAGUCCACGCCGUAAACGAUGCGCACUGGGUAUGAGGGGCACUGACGCUUCUCGUGCCACAGCAAAAGUGGUUAGUGCGCCGCCUGGGGAGUACGGCCGCAAGGCUAAAACUCAAAGGAAUUGACGGGGGCUCACACAAGCGGUGGAGCAUGUGGAUUAAUUCGAAGCAACGCGCAGAACCUUACCUGGGUUUGACAUGUGCGGAUGCCGUCCAUGAAAGUGGAGCCGGCUGCCUUCGGGUGAAACGUACACAGGUGCUGCAUGGCUGUCGUCAGCUCGUGCUGUGAAGUGUCGGGUUAAGUCCCUUAACGAGCGAAACCCCUUUCACUAGUUGCCAGCGGGUCAUGCCGGGGACUCUAGUGAGACUGCCGGCGUCAAGCCGGAGGAAGGCGGGGACGACGUCAAGUCAUCAUGGCCUUUAUGCCCAGGGUGUCACACGUGCUACAAUGCCUGGUACAGAGCGACGCGAGACCGCGGGGUGG
rnacentral:rRNA from 1 species